rnacentral:rRNA from 1 species
GGCAUGGAUUAGGCAUGCAAGUCGAGCGAACCCGCAAGGGUUAGCGGCAAAAGGGUGAGUAACACGUAAGUAAUUUUCCUUCAAAACGGGGAUAGCACCGUGAAAACGGUGGUAAUACCCGAUGGUAUAAGUGAUCCGCAUGGAUUUCUUAUUAAAGACGGGGACCGCAAGGCCUGUCGUUUGGAGAUGAGCUUGCGUACCAUCAGCUAGUUGGUAGGGUAACGGCCUACCAAGGCUUAGACGGUUAGCUGGUCUGAGAGGACGACCAGCCACAUUGGGACUGAGACACUGCCCAGACUCCUACGGGAGGCUGCAGUCGAGAAUAUUUAGCAAUGGACGAAAGUCUGACUAUGCGACGCCGCGUGCAGGAUGAAGGUCUUCGGAUUGUAAACUGCUUUUGUUAGGGGAGAAACCUGUAUCAUUAAUAGUGGUACAGCUGACGGUACCUGACGAGUAAGCCACGGCAAACUCCGUGCCAGCAGCCGCGGUAAUACGGAGGUGGCAAGCGUUACUCGGAAUUAUUGGGUGUAAAGGGCAGGUAGGUGGUCUUGCAAGUGAGAGGUGAAAUCCCACGGUUCAAUCGUGGAACUGCCUUUCAAACUGCUUGACUUGAGAAUGUUAGGGGAGAAUGGAAUUCCCGGUGUAAGGGUGAAAUCUGUAGAUAUCGGGAAGAACACCAACAGCGAAGGCAAUUCUCUGGGACAUUUCCGACACUGAACUGCGAAAGCUAGGGGAGCAAACAGAAUUAGAUACUCUGGUAGUCCUAGCCGUAAACGAUGAAUACUAGGUGUUGGUCCUUUCGGGGAUCAGUGCCGAAGCUAACGCAUUAAGUAUUCCACCUGGGGACUACAAUCGCAAGGUUAAACUCAAAGGAAUUGACGGGGGCUC